UACAGAGGUCUCGAGCGUUAGGCGGAAUCACUGGGCUUAAAGCGUGUGUAGGCGGGUCGUUAAGUGCCUUGUGAAAUCCCAUGGCUCAACCAUGGAACUGCUGGGCAUACUGGCGAUCUUGUGCCACCUAGGGGCGAGCGGAACAGAUGGUGGAGCGGUGAAAUGCGUAGAUAUCAUCUGGAACGCCAAUGGUGAAAACAGCUCGCUGGGGUGUGCAGACGCUGGAGACACGAAAGCCAGGGGAGCGAACGGG
rnacentral:rRNA from 1 species